CCUACGGGUAGCAGCAGUGGGGAAUAUUGGACAAUGGGGGCAACCCUGAUCCAGCCAUGCCGCGUGUGUGAAGAAGGCCCUCGGGUUGUAAAGCACUUUCAGUGAGGAAGAACGCCUGGUGGUUAAUACCCAUCAGGAAAGACAUCACUCACAGAAGAAGCACCGGCUAACUCCGUGCCAGCAGCCGCGGUAAUACGGAGGGUGCGAGCGUUAAUCGGAAUUACUGGGCGUAAAGCGCGCGUAGGUGGCUUGAUAAGCCGGUUGUGAAAGCCCCGGGCUCAACCUGGGAACGGCAUCCGGAACUGUCAAGCUAGAGUGCAGGAGAGGAAGGUAGAAUUCCCGGUGUAGCGGUGAAAUGCGUAGAGAUCGGGAGGAAUACCAGUGGCGAAGGCGGCCUUCUGGACUGACACUGACACUGAGGUGCGAAAGCGUGGGUAGCAAACAGGAUUAGAUACCCUUGUAGUC
rnacentral:rRNA from 1 species